ACGGGGGUGCAGCAGGCGCGAAACCUCUUCAAUGCACGACAGUGUGAAAGGGGGAUCCUACGUGCUUAUGCUCAGCAUAGGCUUUUGUAAAGUGUAAAUAACUCUACGAAUAAGGGAUGGGAAAGACUGGUGCCAGCAGCCGCGGUAACACCAGCGUCCCGAGUGGCAAUCGUUUUUAUUGGGCCUAAAGCGUUCGUAGCCUGAUUGGCAAAUCUUUUGUGAAAUCGCUCGGCUUAACCGAGUGGCGCGCAGAAGACACUACCUUUCUAGGGACCGGGAGGAGUCAGAAGUAUUCUGGGGGGAGCGGUAAAAUGUUAUAAUCCUCGGAAGACUACCUGUGGCGAAGGCGUCUGACUAGAACGGAUCCGACGGUGAGGAACGAAGGCUAGGGGAGCAAACCGGAUUAGAUACCCGAGUAGUCCUAGCAGUAAACUCUGUAUGCAAGGUGUUGCGCAUCUUUGUAGUUGCGCAGUAUCGAAGAGAAGUCGUUAAGCAUACCGCCUGGAUAGUACGGUGGCAAGACUGAAACUUAAAGGAAUUGGCGGGGGAGCAC
rnacentral:rRNA from 1 species